ensembl:misc_RNA
UGGGAUCAAAACCAAGGCGCAGUGAAUUCUGCAUAGCAUCUUCUUUGGAAUUACUCAGGAACCUGAACUUUUCACACAAAUGUAAGCAAUUCUACCAAGGAAUCCCUUUACCUAAGAGCAUCUCUCAAGGCUCCAGAGUCAGAUUCCAGAAAUACACCAAGAUAAAACCUA